UAUAAAUUAUGCACAUUAGCUUUUUGGCUCUAGACAAAUUCAUGUUGAUUGAUGGAUCCAUGGUUGAGACAGAAGAAUGAAAGAGUUAAAGCUGCUAUCAGAAAAAGGGUUGAGAAUUAGAGAGAGAACAUUUCAUGGCAUCGAGUGACGAUUCAAAAAGACAAACACAUUACCUAAAAGAGGGCACUGGCCUAGAGAGUUUAGCAUCAUCAGAGGCUAGAGAGGUCACUUGCUGGGAAAGUGGCCAUAAAAUAUGGAAAAGAGAAAGAGUUGAGCUAGAGAUGGCUGGCUGAAGAGGAGAGAGCAGUGAAAAUUGCUCCCAGGGAGAAGCGGAGAGGAACAAAAGCCAGACAAGCUCUAGCAAAUGACUUGCGAGUUUUUGUCCAGCUAGGAAGUUCUGCUUCAGGCAGUGCUUGGCAGAUGAUGCUGAGAUACCCCUGAGUCUAAACAGUGGGCAGGGAAGGCCUGGCCCUGAGGAAUCGAGCCCUGUGUGCUGUCUUUCAAAAUGUUACUCUACAUCUUCCAAAAUGGAGUUAACAUGACAAGUGAUUGCGUACCAUUAGAAUCAUGUAGCCCAACCCAGCCCUCCUAAAUGAACUUACCCUGCUGUAAUUGUUCAUAAGCCUCAAGUAUCCCCCCCCCCCCACAGCAAAGGAAACCCAGCAAUGCUAAAGUCAUACAUUUCUGAAUGUAAUUGGAUCACAUCAAAUUCAUCUGCUUUGGAUGUCCACAUUGCAUAUUUUUAAAAGGUAAGAAAAGGAUGAGAAUAGGAAAUGUCUGAUGGAAGCAGAAGAGUAACAAGGGGUGGCUCUGUCACACUGUCCAGAGCAGCCAGCUGAAGAACUCAUAUAAGCACCUCCCACGUGCCCCACUCAUCAGGCUAACAUGUCCCAUCAGGCAGAUUUGCCACUUGUUUUGGGACAUUUCAUGAAAGCAUCUUGCUUCUAGAAAGAUUGUUUUCAUACUAUUUUGUUGAAAAAAAAGAAACCUAUUGCAAAGUUAAAAGAUUUUGCAGUGAAUAAAUACCCACAUGGUAUCCCAUACUAGUGUGGAUGUACUUAUAUAACUUGAAGCACAUGACCAAAUAAAUUAAAUAGCCACCACAUCCACAUGGUUCUGGGACUGUAUUACUAACUUCGUUGGCACAUGCUUUGGAGUUUUUCAUUGGAAAAUUAAUCAAAAAGGCAAAUCAAAUGUAGCUGUACUUUAGGUAUUUUCACCGACAGGCACACAAAAUCCUGGAGCAAAGAAGGAGCAUGGUUAGGACACAUGGACAUACUUACUCUUCCUCCAUCUUCAGCCCUUUAUCUUUGGAUGCAUGUAUCUUCUCAUACCCAGAAAGGAAAGUUGUCUAUCAUACUCAAGCAACAUAGACUAGCAUGAUUUGCUGCGCCUGCUUUAGUAAUAUUGGCUUAGUGUGUUGAAGGGCUUUGGAGAGCACACUUUCUAUCCAAUUGAGUCCUUUGGGAAAGUGGCUAUCUAGCUGGGCCUUGGAAACACAGAGGAAGAAUAUGAGUCUCUCUUGGGGCCUCUCUUGUACAGGGAAUGAAAGAAAGUACAACCGCCUGGCUGGAGCUCCUGCGUUGGCCCUGGGUCAAGGAAGCAACUGAGCUCCAAGGAGCAAGUUCCUGCUUUGUGAGCCAGCUCUAAUAUAAUUCCCCUCUCUGUAUUUUCCAUUGACUUUACAAAGAAUAAUUUUAAAAUUCUAGUCUUGUCCUUUCCUUACAAAGCGGGGAGAAAAACAGUUAUGUGCCUAAUGAUGUCACAGAGUUAGAGACAUACCAUUCCCUUCUUAGCAGAAUGCAUUGGUGGCAAUAGGAAAGCACAAGUGAGUGGCUGCGAGCAGUGAUGAUAAGUUAUUCUACCAUCUGUGCAAGGCCUCCUCUAUUUUAAUUCCGGGAUUCCUUGGGUUUUAUUUUGACUAACGGGGGUUUGGAUUCCCACAGAAGUAUGCAUAUGAACACCACUGUAGGCACACUAUAAACAUACCAGGGUACCUUAAUAUCCUAAUUAAUCAGGGCAGAGGCUGGACCACUGAAAGGUUAGAAGAUAAAAGUCUAUGUACUCCUCCCAGAAGGUUAGCAGUUCCAUGUUGCCUAUGAAUUAACUAAAUGUGUAAAAAACCAAAAAACC
rnacentral:lncRNA from 1 species